CCUACGGGGGGCUGCAGUGGGGGAUAUUGGACAAUGGGGGAAACCCUGAUCCAGCGACGCCGCGUGAGUGAAGAAGUAUUUCGGUAUGUAAAGCUCUGUCAGCAGGGAAGAAAGAAAUGACGGUACCUGACCAAGAAGCCCCGGCUAACUACGUGCCAGCAGCCGCGGUAAUACGUAGGGGGCAAGCGUUAUCCGGAAUUACUGGGUGUAAAGGGAGCGUAGACGGUGAUGCAAGUCUGGAGUGAAAGGCGGGGGCCCAACCCCCGGACUGCUCUGGAAACUGUGUAACUUGAGUGUAGGAGAGGUAAGCGGAAUUCCUAGUGUAGCGGUGAAAUGCGUAGAUAUUAGGAGGAACACCAGUGGCGAAGGCGGCUUACUGGACUGUAACUGACGUUGAGGCUCGAAAGCGUGGGAAGCAAACAGGAUUAGAUACCCUGGUAGUC
rnacentral:rRNA from 1 species